UACUCUUGCUGGUGUUUUAUUGUGCAGCUGUUGGAGAAACACAGAGAGCCACGAGGAAGAUACUUGGGAGACUAACUAGGCUACAAACUUAUGACGAUCUCUGGAGCCCUCCAGUGGAGAAGAGAAUGAAGUAAACAGUAAACUACUCCUGGACUGUACUGGUGUUUGGUGGAUUCGAUCAGCGGGCCUUAAUUUGCCAACCUCCGCUGUAUUCCAAAGGAUCAUAAAAUCACAGAAUUUCAGAAUAUUUCUCCAAAGUCUUUGAAGAAUACAGAAGUGGAAUAUUUCAAGUAAAAACUAGAAUAUUAAUCAGGAAUUAACGAUACCUGGUUUUAACUUCAGGCUCUGCUUUGCAUGCUGGUCAUUUUCAACAUCUCCUUUAUCUGUGGCAUAAAGAGAGUGUUAUAUCUGUCUCUUUUGGCACAAGAGAGCUACAAAAAUAAAUGACACACUGAGCUUCAGCAUAAUUCCUCAGUUAAUCACAAUGCUGUGUACACAUUACGGUAA